GACGGAGGGCGCAAGCGUUGUUCGGAAUUACUGGGCGUAAAGCGCACGCAGGCGGUCUAUUAAGUCCUUUGUGAAAGCCCGGGGCUCAACCCCGGAAUUGCAUGGGAUACUGGCAGACUGGAGACUGGUAGAGGCUAGCGGAAUUCCUGGUGUAGCGGUGGAAUGCGUAGAUAUCAGGAAGAACACCUGUGGCGAAGGCGGCUAGCUGGGCCAGAUCUGACGCUCAUGUGCGAAAGCGUGGGGAGCAAACAGGAUUAGAUACCCCAGUA
rnacentral:rRNA from 1 species